rfam:Weissella kandleri strain DSM 20593 Scaffold4, whole genome shotgun sequence.
UGGGUAUUAGCCAAGCGGUAAGGCACUAGUUUCUGGUACUAGCAUGCGCUGGUUCGAAUCCAGCAUACCCAG